GGCGGACCGAUCAGUCAGAGGUGAAAUCCCAGGGCUCAACCCUGGAACUGCCUUUGAUACUGUCGGUCUUGAGGUCGAGAGAGGUGAGUGGAAUUCCGAGUGUAGAGGUGAAAUUCGUAGAUAUUCGGAGGAACACCAGUGGCGAAGGCGGCUCACUGGCUCGAUACUGAC
rnacentral:rRNA from 1 species